GACGAACCGUGCGAACGUUAUUCGGAAUCAUUGGGCUUAAAGGGCGCGUAGGCGGCUUGGCAAGUGGAUGGUGAAAUCCCUCGGCUUAACCGAGGAACUGCCGUCCAAACUGCUUUGCUUGAGGCCGGGAGAGGCGAGUGGAACUCCCAGUGUAGCGGUGAAAUGCGUAGAUAUUGGGAGGAACACCAGUGGCGAAGGCGGCUCGCUGGACCGGUUCUGACGCUGAUGCGCGAAAGCGUGGGGAGCAAACGGG
rnacentral:rRNA from 1 species